AUGAGUAAAGUGAUAACUAAGUGGACGUGAAAUUGCAUAGUUCAAUGGUUGAAUGCCGAUCAGUGUUAUUGGUCACGCAUAUGAUAUAGUGUUGAGUUGCUUGAGGACAAGCAAUUGUCUUAAGUUGAGGGUGUUGAUGUUCUGGCCUUUGACGGAAUAUUUUAAAUCUUUUACAAGGGAUAAUUAUGUGUUUUAAAGAAACUAUUGAGGUAUUUGAUGCUAGGUUUUACUUGUUUUUAGGUAAAUGACUGAGAAGAUGAAAUAACUUGGAAAAGCAGGAACUAAAGACUAUUGAUGAUCUGACCGUUAUGGUGUCUGUCAGUACUGAACAGAAAGGAAGGUUUGGAGGACCCGAGUAACGAUCCAAGUCACGAACCGUCAGGCCACUGACGAGCCGUCACCUUGGCCGUCAGACCCAAACAGAAGGCAGUCCAUCAAGUAUGGAAGUGAUGGUCCAGGCGACGAACCGUCAGACCCUUGAUGGGCCUUCAACUCGAUUGUCGGAGCUUAAACAGUAUGCUAAAAUUUGAGAGUCCAAGUGACGGCCUAAGCGACAGAUCAUCAGGCCAACGACAGAUCGACACCUUGACUGCCAACCAUGACGCGGUAAUCUGCAGUUUGAAUUUUAAAUCCCCAUUACCUAGAAACCUAUAAAUACUCAGUUUAGGGUUAUAUUAGGUAUCUUUGGACUACUGAGUACUUUUGUAACCUAAAUUUCUCUGAGUAACAAGCUUUUUACUAGGAUCUUAUCAUUUUAUUCAUUAUGCAUUCAAGAUAAAGAACAAUCCUUUGGAUCUUUGUAAGUGAUUUUCUGAAAUUAUUUAUGAUAAAUACAAUAAAAUCUUCUUCUUUUAUGAUGUAUGGCUAAAGCUCCCAUAACUAGGGUUAUGGGAGCCUUGGUGUGAAUCAUUGCUUGGGUUUGUGAGAAUGCCUAAAUUCUGUAACUAAUUGAAAUUGCAUAAUAUUCUCUUCAUAAUAAUGAUCUUUCUUAUAUGCAAACUUGAAGGGUGCGCCCACGAACACCACUUGUUUGAGUAGAAGAGUAUGUUGGGAAAAGAAGAGAUUUACAAGAAAUUCAAGGGCUUUAACCUUUGGGUUAUGGGUUGAAGCAUUAACAGGAUCAACCUACUUGAGGAGUCAAUUGAGCAAUACAUAACAUUCUUUAAGUUCGAAAGAAUUAAAGGGCAGCUAUCUAUCAAGGUUGAGAAACAAAUAGAUAGAAUUUAAUAUUUCAAUUAACAUUGCAAUGGAGAUUGUUAAUUGGGAAUUUGGAAUAGCUCACAACACUGACUUCAUGAACACCUUGGUGAACAUAAUCCUAGUUUACUUAUUCUCAUUGAAUUAACCUUGCAAAAAUACACACUAGUUGGAAUACAACUUGAUUUUAUUAACAAAUUGUUAACAAACAAACCCUUUUACUUCUGGAAAUCUUUGAUCAAUUGUCAAUUAAUAGUCAUACACUUAAUUAACACUUUAUUCCCUGUGGGAUUCGAGCCCAACCUAGUUGGGUUCUAUAUUUGACAACUACCGCUUACCCAUUUAAAAGAAAAUUGGAAUUUGGGUGUAUCAAUGCUUAACAAUAUAAAAGUAAAUUAAACAUCAAAACACAUAGCAAAUGAAAGGGAAAGGGGGAAAUGGGAUAGGCAUGGAGAACACAUACAAAGGGGAAAGGAGAAGGGGCUAGCAUGUAAAAAUAAAUCAUGAUAAAAAUAAACAAUAAAAAUAAGAAAGGAAUAAGGAAAAACGUCAACAUGUCGAAACUAAAUAACCAACAAAGGGGAGAAAGAACAAGGUGAUCAUGGAAAUAAAAUAAAGAGAAUACUAGAAUCCCACAUAAAAAUACAAAAUCGUAAUGGUUAGAACCUAAGGAUCCCCAUCGAAGUCAUCAUUCUGUCGCACCCCAUUUUUCUCGCGAAAAGCGAGAUUCGACGUAACCACUCUUUUUGGAAUUUUUUUAAAGGGUGUGAAGAGUCGUCACCUAAUGAAUUAAGGUGUGUUAGGGCACCAUUCUAGGCUAACUACGAACCUAUUUUUGUUAUUUAGUCAUAGUUCACCAGAAAUUUAGAUAAGGAGUCAAAUUACCUCGAAAGAAAGAUGUUAGGCACCUUUCGAGGUCCACAAAGAUGGCUUCCGGUCGAAUUCAUCUUUUACGUGGAGAUUCUAUGUGAUAAGCAAAGGUCGAUUAUUUUAUUAACUUAAAUGUUACUAAGUGGAAAAACAUGAAUAGACAAAACAUGUAAUCUAAUUAUUUUAACUAUCAUUUACCUAAGUGAUAAAAUCAUAAAGAAUGUAAAUAAGCCAAGCAAGGAGAGAGAAGAGACAAAAUUUAUAACAAAAGAGACUGCUUAUAAAACUACCUACCCCAAAUAAAUAAGCAUACUAAGUAAAUGUAAUAAAAAACACAAAUUCAAAAAAUCAAACAAAAGAAUGUUUAAACAAAGCACCCGCAACAAUGAGAUAAGUCGGACGCUUCCUUAAAACCCGAAGAGAAACGUCAAAGAGCUUGAGAAAUAUUUUUCUUUGUAUUAAAAUAGCUAGUAGUCUUUUGUUUCAAAGAGAAGUAAUCAAGAAGAGUUGUCUGCUAAUUGAAAGAGGGGGGUUUUAUAUAGGCUUAGGGUUAUAAGCCUUUACCAAAAAUAAUGGUGAGAGAAUAUCUUUUAAAAAGAAAUUAGAAGAAAAUUUCCUUAAAUAAGUGAUUGAUUCAAUCAUGUAAAUAUUCAAUCAGAGAUUAUAAAAGGAAAAGAAUAUUAGUAACACCAUUAAUCAAUGAUAUUUUUCAUAAUUCAUUUAUAUCAGACAUAAGAAAUUCGCUCAAUUAAAUAUUUCGAACAAGUGAGCAAAUAAACACAAAAAUCUGUCCACAUUUAAAUUAGCCGAAGACAUGCACUUAUGCAUGAAUAAAACUAACAGAUUGUCAUAUAAUUCACAACUGGCUGUUAUCACUAAAGAUCAACAGAGCCACUAGUCCAAAUUUCACAAAAUCAAGCAACUUAUUAGGCAACUAGUUCAAAAUAAUUAUUAUAAUCGAAACUAAUAAGGAAACUCACCAAAAUUCUUCAAAAAUCAAGCAGUCAAUCUAAAUUGUACCAAAAUAGUUCAAAUACAUGUAGGACACUUAUCACUAUUAGUGUUCAAGAUAGCAGAAGAUGAGCAAGUCCAAAUUAAUAAAAUCCUAACUCGAUUUGAGACAAAAUUGAUUAAGAAUUAGGGUUCAAUAGUCUAUGAAAAUUAAGGUUUUCAUGCAUGUUGAUUAAGAUGCAUAAACAAGCAUGAAACAUAUCAAAAUUCAAAGUCUAUUCUCAUAAAUCUCAAAACUAAGAAUUUGAUUUUGACCAAUUUACAAACAAGACACAUAAUUUAAGAUAUUAAAAAAUCAAACUUGAUGAUAAUCAAAGAAAAAUUCAUUGAAGACCUCGUUGGUUAUUAACUUUAGUGAGAGAAUGAUGACAAAUAGACAGUGGAGAUGGAGAAGAGUCUUUCGCUGGUCAAGGAGAGAAGAGUAAAGCAUAUGGCUGCUCCGCCAGCUGCUGCUAGUGCUGAGUGGCUGCUGUUGUUACCAUCAAAGAAGACGUUGCUGGGGUGGUGAAAAAUGAAGGGGCUAGAGUUAGGUUGUUGGUUUAAAAGAAAAGAGAGAAAAGAUCGAUCUCAGCCAUUGGAUUCAUUUUGAUCAACGACUGAGAUUAAAAUGAUUUAAAAAAUAGGGCAAAGAAUUAAAUUCUAAUUGGAAAUUUAGAUUGGUUUUAAUUUUGGCUAAAAUUGACAGUAAUAAAAUGGCUAAAAUUUAAAUAUAUGAGAAAAAUUGAAUAAAAAAUGUUGCUAUUUUAAUAAUAAUAAUAAUAAUAAUAAUAAUAAUAAAUAAUAAUAAUAAUAAUAAUUAAAACUAGGCAAUGUAUUUGUAAAUUGUGAGCGUGCAUAUUUAUGAAAGUGAUUUAACAAAUAUCAAUAAAAUUACGUAAAGUAUUAUACUUAUAUUAAUAAAUUAAAAAAUGAUAAUAAAAAGUAAUAAAAUUAUUUGUAUACUUUAAAAACAUGAGUGUGAUAUGUCCCGAUUUAUUUGAUACUAAAAUAAUGCUAAAAAUAUUAGCAUUUAAAAUUAAUAUUUUUUUAUCAAAAUUGCAACCUUGGAGUUAUGUCGAAAAGUCAAAAUUAGGUGACAACAACACAAAUAAACACAUUUGUUCAAUCCAUAACAAAAAUCAUAAGCAUAGUGGUUUUAGUAUAUACACUUGUACGAUUUAUGGUGUUUUGAGAUAUAUAAUCAAGACUUUUGAAAGGAUUGAAGCAAGAUUGAGUUUUCUUCUGUUGUUUGCCAUCAUUAGACAUGCUACAAGUAUAUCAAAAUUAGGUAAAUGGUAAGAUUAUCACUUUACUUUCUCAUUUCCUGGAUAUGGUGGUGGUAUUGAUUUCACAUGAGAUUCAAUCCAUCAAUUGAAGAAAAAAAGCAAGAAAAUGAUUUUAUCAACUGUGAUAGCUUAGCAUUUUGCAUAAAUGAAGAAGCAGUUAGAUCGAGCCUAUUUGCUCAGCAUAUUCAAAAGAUAUAGAAAAAUUGCUAUAAAAAUUAAGUAAGAGAGAUUAGUACAUAAUAUAGAUGGUGUGUUUUCCUAAAAUAAUAGAUCUACUAAUUUAUAAGAAAGGGAAAGCAAUACUUAACUAGAAAUUUUGAAACAACAAAGUUAAAAGAGCUUUUACGGAAGGUAAAGAACACAACGGUAGCAGAAUUUCUAUCAAACAUCAUAGCUAUUAAUGAUAAAAAGCAUUUGAGAUCGCUGAAAAUAGGUCAAGAGAGAUGAAGACUCGAGAAUUUUUUAUUUAAUUUUUUUGGUUUUCUAAUUUUGAUAGCUGGCAAGGACUAUUUGUUUGCUUUUCUAUUGGACUGGGUCACUUUUGGGUUCAGUCUUGUAAAUACAUUUGCAUUUUAUUAAAAAUCAUUUGAUCUAACUUGUUUUUGAUUAAAAACAUAUUUGUCAUGAAAGAUAUAAAGUUAUUUCUAACAUUUACUAAAUUAGUAAUAAUAUGUCAAAGUUACACAUUCGAUACGACAUAGGUCUAUUAGCAGGUAUCAAUUCAAUGUUGGAAGAAAUUAUUGAAAACUAAUGAAGAGAAUAUUUUAACACAAGAAGAAAAUUACAGAUUAUUCACUAUGUUAUAGUGAAACUGAUUAACUCAUGAAAGGUUAUACAAAUACUAAUUGAGUUGAUGAUUGAUAUGAUAAAAAAUCGAUAUUUGUCUAUUAUUUCUUACUUAAUGAUGAUGCUAGUUUGUUGAAAAGUAAGAAACAAACUUGUGCAACCCUCUCAAGCAAGAAGCUGUUUGGUUGAUGAGAUUUAUUGAACAUUUGAAUAUUACAAAGAAUUUUUCAGGUCUCAUGAAUAUAUACUCCAACAGCCAAGUGGUCGUCGCGUACAUGAAAGAUUUUAAGUAUCACAGUAAGAUCAAAUACAUUGACAUCAAAUAUAACUUUGUGAGAGACAAAUAAAUUUACAAUACUUUCUUACAUGAGAAAUGGUAGUUAAUCCCUCUACAAAGACAAUAUGUAGAGAUUUGAUUGAGAAAUAUGUUAUGACUUUAGAUUUGCAUAGUAUAUGUCAUUAUUUUAGUAUUGUAAAAUGACUUAGUCAUUAUAAUAUUUUCAUCAAUAUAAAACUCUUGAAUUUAUGUUCAAUUCAUAUGCAACUUAUAAUGUGUUUUAUUGACAAAGUGUGUCGAACAAGUUGAGAGAUUAACUCUCUCACACAAGUAAUCUUCUACGUUGAGAUCAUGAAAUAAUCAGAUCAACCACAAUGUUAUGACUUGUUUUGCAAGACAAAUAUGAGUCUCUCUAAGAAAAUAAAUUUGAGAAUAAUUGAAGAGAAAAACUCAUAUUAGACAUCCAGAGAUAUCUAGACCAAGAUUUUUAAGGUGUUGAAGAAUUUAAAAAGUGAGACACACACGACAAUAUAAAGUGAGAAUAUAAUAGCAAGUGUUUCAUAUUAUGUAAGUUUAGCGAUUAAUAAGUUAAUCAAUGAAUUGUUCCCUGCUUUUUCGUUGUGUCCAAAAAGUUACAUUAAUUUUUUGUUGAAAUAUCCUUUGAACUUUAAUAGUUUCUUGAAAUUUCAACCAAUGUUGCUAUUUUAGCGUGUCACUUAUAUUCAUGAAGGAUUCGACAAUGCAGUGCAUGUUUAGAAAAAUAAUUUAUUUGGUACAGAUAGAUUUGAAUUAAAGAAAAGACAAUUAAAUUAAUAUUUUAACUUAUAUUCACAGGCCGAUCAUUAAACUUAUCAUAAAGGUAAUAGGUGUAAUUGUGAAAGUUAAUUAAGAGGAUGAAGGAUCUGAUAAAUAUCUAUUAACGUAGUGAAUAAAGUCUAGGAUACUGUGAAUAAUAUGGUCCUUAAAUUUAUAGUGGAUACUUUCCACAUAUGAUUGAAUUUCUAUAUUGAGCUUUCAUACAACUUUUAAUAGGUUAUGAGGUAUUAGCUCUUAAUACUCACAAGUCGCACACACUAUUUGUGUGUAUGAAUUAUGAGUACUAUUAAAAUAGUAUUAAUUUAGAUCAAGUUUAAUAUGAUUUGAAUCAAGUUCAUCAUGUGCGAAUUGGGAGAUAUUGGACAUUUGAGUAUGAAUCAUGGAUCAUCUAAGGGGAUUGAAUCAAAAUCAAUUUAUUAUAAUUAAUAAAAUAAAAUUAAAAAAAUAAUAAUAAUAAGGAGUUAUCAGGCAAGUUAUCUGAAAAUUACAAUCCCAUACAUCUAUUAUAUUUGUGGAAUACAAAGAUAUGUUUUGGUUUAGGUUGAAAAAGAUGAUAAAAGAAACUUUUUUCUCUUUUGCUAGGAAAAGAUACACUCUUCUUCUCUAUCUUCUAAAAGUAUAUUUCUCUCUAACACUUCUUUUACAUUGACACACUCAAGAACAAAGACAUCUAAUUUGUAGAAUCAAAGCUUUAAUUUUAAGAGAUUCAAAGCAGUUUUGAGACAGUUCUUUUGGUAGCAAGAUCAACUAUGUUUGCUGCAAUUUUAAUGUAUAUACUUUGUUGGCAUUACUCCAUACUUUGCAUGGCUGCUUCUCAAGUGAUUUUUACACAUUAGUAAAACUUUAUCAAAAAUCUAAAUCAUAAUUAUAUACUCUAUCCGUUUAAAAAGAAUGAUUCAUUUUUUUAGCCCGUUUAAGAAAAACUAUCUUUUUUUAUAACUCUUUAAUUCUAACUUUCUGACCACAAAAUUAGAAUAUAUUUGGAUUAUCUAACAUAUUUUUAAUUUAAAAUCACAACAUAAUUUUAAAAUAUUUUAUUUUUUAAACUCCUUGUCAUUCUUUUUAAGUAGAUGGAGUAUUUAUUAUUUUUAUAACUAUAUAUAAGGAAAAAUCUUCCUUUUUAGCAGUCCUCAUAAAUUUUUUGGUGUAGAGACACAUGUUUAUAUUUUUUCAUAUAUUAGAUUUGUCCUCAUUGAUUAUUUUUUGAUAUUUUUAUUUAGAUAUUUGUAAUUAAAUAAUAAAUAGUAUUUGUUUUUAAUAAAUUUGUUCUUGUUCCUUAUUAGAUUUCUUUUUUUUUUACUUAGUUUUAAUAUUAAAAAAUAAUUAUUAUUCUUACUUAUUUAUUUUAGUAAAUCACGUGUACUAAAAAAUAGAUUUUUCUUCGUACUUGGUAAGAUCCCCAUUGAUGACUAAAGAAUGAGAAACCAUGGAAAUGCACUCCAUGGCCCAUUGACAAAAUUUUAAAGGAAAUUCAAGAUUUGCUAUCAUACUUUUCAAAAACUUCCACUCAGUGAAAUCAUAAAUCUUUUCAAGAUUUACUUUCAUAAAAUACUUUGGAGAUGGCCUUUUUUUGAAUACCACUUAAUGAGCUUAUGGAUAAACAAUAUAUUAUUAGUAAUAAUUCUAUCCUUUAUAAAAAUAGACAAUGAAGGACGAUUAUAGUACUAAUUACACUUGUAAUUCUGUUUGUGGAAAUUUUAGUGAUGAGUUUAUUGAAGGUAGUAUAACAAUCAAUUGGGUCUAUACUUCUUGACAUAAAUAGGGGCUUUGACUUUUGAACUUAAUGUAAUUGUUGUACAACUAAAGGUUUUGAGCAACUUAUCCCUUAUUAUUUUCUUCGAGUAUUAUUCUUAUCAUUAAGUAACUAUACAACAUAAUAGUUGUCAAUCAUAUACUUUCAAAUCAUAUUUAACGAGAUAAAUAAACAAACUCCUAUUAAAUAGCUUCUUAUUAAUAGGAGUACCAAAUCAACAAACGUAAAAUAAAAUGAGAUGGAUAGAGUGAAUAUUUUAAAAAAAAAAAAUUUUAGUUAAAGUUAUGUAAAUUUGAAGUUAUAGUCUCAUUUAUAAUCAGAGCAUUUAUUUAUUUUUAAUAAUAUUGAUUCUCUUGUUGGGAGUGUUUGGUACAAACAUGUUUUUUCAAUGAAAAACAUUAUUUAAAAAAGAAAAUUCAAAAAAUUUAGUGUGUUUCUUACUUAUUUUCUUAUAUUCGGUAUGUAAGUAAAAUAUUAUUUGAAAAUUAUUUAUAUAUAAUUUAGAAGAGUUUUACGAGAAGUGGAGGAUACGGUGGCAAGGAUGGGAGCUACCGGUGAGAUGAAGAUAAGGUGUAUUGAAGAGCGAUGGAUUUAGGCCCCGUUUGGCCAUGAAAAUAAAAAUUUUUGGAGUUGAAGUUGGAUUUGAAGUUGAAGUUAGAGUUUGAGUUGUGUUUGGCUAUGAAUAUAAAUUCGAGUUGUUUUUGAAAUUUUGUGAGAGAAGUAUGAGUGAAAAUUUUACCUGUUUUUACUUUUUCAAAUAUAAUUUAAAAUUGUAUUUGAAAUUCUCAUGGCCAAACAUAUAUUAUUUUCACUUUUUCACUAAAGUGAAAUAUUUUUUCGAAAAAAGUAAAUAAUUUUCAUGGCCAAACGGGAAGUCAAUAAAUGUGAAAUAUAGAAUAUAAUUUUGUACUUCCAAGAAGUCAUUUUUAUAAGUCUAAAAUGACUUGUUUUCCUAUAGAAAAUGUUUUUUAAAAAAAAUCCAUCAAAUAUGAUUUUUUUAAAACAUGUUGUACACAUCAUUUAUUUGUUUUAAGUUGAAUUCUAUCUCUAUUCAUAUUUACUAAUUAUUUUUCAUACUUUCUUUCUCAUAAAUAAAGUCCUUUAAAUUAUCAGACAAGACAUAAUUAACGUAUCACUGAAUUAAAUUAAUUAUAAUAAAAAAUAUGACUUAAAUUAUAUAUUUUUUAAAAUUAAAUUUUAUAUUUUUUUAUCAUCACCUUGGGCUGGGGCUUAGCACGCCUUAUGCUAUUAAUUUUAGGGCCCGUUUGGCCAUAAAUUUUUUCCCUUUUUUUUUUUUCUUUUUUUUCACUUUCUAGGAAAUUAUGGUGUUUGGUCAUGAAAAUUCAGAAAAUUAUUUCGAAGUUGGGUUUAAAAAAGUGAAAACAACUUUUUGUUGUUUUCACAAUUUUCACUUUCAUUUUCAACUUUCAUUUAUUAUAUAUAACCCCAAUCUUUAAAUUUUUACACAAACCCCUGUUAUAACUACAACCAACCACCAAAAAAAAUUAUUAUUUGUUUUCUAUGGUACAACAUCAUUUUUAAUUGUUACAGAUAUUCUAAUAUCUUUUUCUUCUUUUAACCAAAAUUUACUAACGUGAAGCAAAAAAUAAUAAAUGGCCAUCUAUGGCGGAAAUAUAUCAACUUUGUUUUGAAUGAAUUAUAUUAUAGAAAUAUAAGGCGUAGUACAUUAUGUUAUUUAAAAGUGAGAAAUUUAAUAUUUUUUUCUUUCCAACCUAAUUUUUUGUAUAUGUUAUAUAAUUGUUAUUAUGAUUUUAAUAAAUUAUUAAAAAGUGGUCAAUAAAGUCGCAUAUCAAUCGAUUAUGGUUAGAUAAACUUAUUUAGCCCAUGCUUGUGAUAUUUUUAUUCAAAUUUUAGAAGAAUAACAAUCAUAAUAAUUAGUUUGUUGUUAAUUAUUUUAUCAAUUGAAGGACAUGUAAAUUAUUUUCUCAACAUUUGGUUGUAUGUUAGUAGGUAAAUUAGUAGUUGAGUGAAUUAAUUUUCAACUCCAACUCCAACUCUGAAAAAAAAAAGUAAUUUUCAUGGUCAAACAGCUACUUAGUUGGGUGAAUUAAUUAAGGGUGACAAAAAAGUGUUGAAAUGUGAAAAGAGUGACUCAAGUUUUAAAUAUUAAGUGUAGGUGACAAUUUAUAAUUAGAAUUUAAUAAUAAUUGACUUUCUUUUAAAUAAGUCCUCAAGUUUUAUUUCUUACACUUUAACCUAAAUUUUAACUAAAACCCUAAUUUCUAAAAGGGGAAAAAUAAGAUUUUUUUCUCCUUUGUCUCGCAAAAAUUUCUCGUGCGUUUUUCUUCUUCUUCAUUCUUCUUCUUCUUCUUCUUCUUCUUCUUCUUCUUCUUCUUCUUCUUCUUCUUCUUCUUCUUCUUCGUCUUCUUCUUCUUCUUCUUCUUCUUCCCCUCCUCCUCCUCCUCCUCCUCCUCCUCCUCCUCCCCCUCCUACCCCUCCUCUUCCCCUUCCCUCUUCCCCUAUUUUAUUUUGCUGCUCUCUUCUUGGUGUUGUUGUUAAUACUAUUAUUGCGCUUUUCUUAUGUGAAAACUAGAAAAGAAAAAAGUUCUCAAUUUGAACUAAAUUUUGUUUGUGCAACAUUGAGAAUUACUUAAGAGGUGAUUUUUGAUCAUUUUGAAUUCGAACUUUAUAUUGUUGAUCUUGCCAUUGCAAUAUAUGUUUCAGCAACUGCUGCAGCAAGUGCUGAAACAGAUGCAACAACAAUUGAAAAAUAUGUAGUAGUUAUUGAAUGGUUUAUCCAGCAAAUGCUUCAUCAACUACAACAACUACUAAAAAUAUACAACAGUUGUUGAAUAUUUAUUCAGCAAAUACUUUAUUAAUCAUAGCAAUUGCUGCAUAUGUUUUCAGUAGUUGCUAAAUUUGCUGCAGUAGUUGCUGCAAUAUAUUCAACAAUUGAUGAAAUAGAAUGUUGUAGUUGUUGAAUAAUUUAUAGCAAUUUUUGUAUCUUUUGCUGCAACUAAUGAAGUAGUUGCUGAAUAAAUUACAACAAUUGUGACAUUUUGGUGUAAUUAUUUCUUCUUUAUCAUGAUCAAUUUAUUUUAUUCUAAAUCAUAAUAUCUUCAGGUAACUUCAAGAUCAUUAGCGAUGGAUAAAAUAGCAUUGGGGAUUGAUUGACACAGCGAAUGAGUUGAGUCUAAUAAUCUUUAUAUAUUUGGCGUUGAAAAAAAAUGGUCGAGACGAUAUCGAUGAUCGUGCAUCGAGACUUGUUGUAGCAUAAUUCAGUAACUGCUAUGAAACGUUCAGCAACUAAUGUACUUGUUAUAGCAAAUUUCAGUAAUUGUUAUGAAAUCCUAGCAACUAACUUUACUUGGUAUGGCAAAUUCAAUGAAGAUCACAACCAUUCAGAAAUGAUGAAACAUUCAGAAACUAAUGUACUUGUUGUAGCAUAUUUAAGCAGUUGUUGUCAAACAUUUAACAACUUACUUGCUUCAACAAUUGUUGUUAAGCAUUCAACAACUAACGUACUUGUUGUAGCACAUUUCAAUAAUUGUUAUGAAAUUCC
rnacentral:lncRNA from 1 species